rnacentral:rRNA from 1 species
AUUGAACGCUGGCGGCAUGCUUUACACAUGCAAGUCGAACGGCAGCGCGGGCUUCGGCCUGGCGGCGAGUGGCGAACGGGUGAGUAAUACAUCGGAACGUGCCCAGCAGAGGGGGAUAGCUCGGCGAAAGCCGGAUUAAUACCGCAUACGACCUGAGGGUGAAAGCGGGGGAUCUUCGGACCUCGCGCGAUUGGAGCGGCCGAUGGCAGAUUAGCUAGUUGGUGGGGUAAAGGCCUACCAAGGCGACGAUCUGUAGCUGGUCUGAGAGGACGACCAGCCACACUGGAACUGAGACACGGCCCAGACUCCUACGGGAGGCAGCAGUGGGGAAUUUUGGACAAUGGGCGAAAGCCUGAUCCAGCAAUGCCGCGUGUGUGAUGAAGGCCUUCGGGUUGUAAAGCACUUUUGGCGGGAACGAAAAGGACUGUGCCAAUACCACGGUUCGAUGACGGUACCCGCAGAAUAAGCACCGGCUAACUACGUG